rnacentral:sRNA from 1 species
GAGUGAUGAGAUCACCGUCUCCCAACGGUGGC